ensembl:snRNA U1 U1 spliceosomal RNA
AUACCUACCUGGCAGGGAAGACACCAUGACCAAGAAGGAGAUUCUCCCAGGGAGAGGCUUACCCGCUGUACCCUGGAUGUGCUGACCCUUGCAAUUUCCCCAAAUGUGGGAAACGUAAUUGGAUAAUUUGUGGUAGUUGGGGACUACGUUUAUGCUUUCCCCUG